rnacentral:lncRNA from 1 species
GGAAAAAGUAGCCUUUAAUCAUUGCAAAUGUGGAAACCACAUAUCCCAGGAUAUUGGCACACCACAGGAGAGGAAUCCAAUUGUCAAAAAUGAUAGUAGGUGAGAAGUAGUGGAAAUAGUAGGCAUUUGCAAACCAAAGUACAUGGGUAAUGAUCCAAGCUUGGAGUCCAUUGAUUUCAUACUUAUUUACUACACCAGCAGGAGUGACAGCACCUUCUUGUACACCUCCUACAUAUCCG